rnacentral:rRNA from 1 species
UACGUAGGGUGCGAGCGUUAAUCGGAAUUACUGGGCGUAAAGCGUGCGCAGGUGGUCAUGCAAGACAGAUGUGAAAUCCCCGGGCUCAACCUGGGAACUGCAUUUGUGACUGCAUAGCUAGAGUACGGUAGAGGGGGAUGGAAUUCCGCGUGUAGCAGUGAAAUGCGUAGAUAUGCGGAGGAACACCGAUGGCGAAGGCAAUCCCCUGGACCUGUACUGACGCUCAUGCACGAAAGCGUGGGGAGCAAACAGG